rnacentral:rRNA from 1 species
UACGUAGGGGGCAAGCGUUGUCCGGAAUCAUUGGGCGUAAAGAGCGUGUAGGCGGCCCGAUAAGUCCGCUGUGAAAGUCCAGGGCUCAACCCUGGGAUGCCGGUGGAUACUGUCGGGCUCGAGUCCGGAAGAGGAGUGUGGAAUUCCUGGUGUAGCGGUGAAAUGCGCAGAUAUCAGGAGGAACACCAAUGGCGAAGGCAGCACUCUGGGACGUGACUGACGCUGAGACGCGAAAGCGUGGGGAGCGAACAGG